rnacentral:rRNA from 1 species
CCUACGGGAGGCAGCAGUGGGGAAUAUUGCACAAUGGGGGAAACCCUGAUGCAGCGACGCAGCGUGCGUGAUGAAGUCUUUCGGUACGUUAAGCUCUAUCAGCAGGGGAGAAAAUCACCGUACCUGACUAAGAUGCCCCGGAUAACUACGGGCAAGCAGCCGCGGUAAUACGUAGGGGGCCAGCGUUAUCCGGAUUUACUGGGUGUAAAGGGGGCGUAGACGGCAGCGCAAGUCUGGAGUGAAAUCCCAGGGCUAAACCAUGGAACUGCUUUGGAAACUGUGCAGCUGGAGUGCAGGAGAGGUAAGCGGAAUUCCUAGUGUAGCGGUGGAAUGCUUAGAUAUGAGGAGGAACACCAGUGGCGAAGGCGGCUUACUGGACUGGAACUGACGUUGAUGCUCGAAAGCGUGGGUAGCGAACAGGAUUAGAUACCCGUGUAGUC